UCCCUCUUAGCUCAGUGGUAGAGCGCGUCACUAGUAUGCAUUCUGCAUAUGACGAGGUCAGUCGUUCAAGUCGGCUAGAGGGAA